UACGUAGGGGGCGAGCGUUGUCCGGAUUUAUUGGGCGUAAAGCGCUCGCAGGUGGUCCGAUGCGUCGUGCGUGAAAGACCCCGGCUCAGCUGGGGGGCGUCGUGCGAUACGGUCGGACUGGAGGCCAGUAGGGGGAUGCGGAAUUCCGGGUGUAGUGGUGGAAUGCGUAGAGAUCCGGAGGAACACCAGCGGCGAAGGCGGCAUCCUGGACUGGUCCUGACACUCAGGAGCGAAAGCGUGGGGAGCGAUCCGG
rnacentral:rRNA from 1 species